UACAGAGGCCUCGAGCGUUAGGCGGAAUCACUGGGCUUAAAGCGCGUGUAGGCGGAUCGUUAAGUGCCUUGUGAAAUCCCACGGCUCAACCGUGGAACUGCUGGGCAUACUGGCGAUCUUGGGCCACUCAGGGGUUGCCGGAACAAACGGUGGAGCGGUGAAAUGCGUAGAUAUCGUUAGGAACGCCGAAGGUGAAGACAGGCAACUGGGAGUGCGCCGACGCUGAGACGCGAAAGCCAGGGGAGCAAACGGG
rnacentral:rRNA from 1 species